GAAGAAGAACGUAGCGAAAUGCGAUACGUAAUGUGAAUUGCAGAAUUCAGUGAAUCAUCGAAUCUUUGAACGCAUAUUGCGCUCUCUGGUAUUCCGGAGAGCAUGCUUGUUUGAGUAUCAGUAAACACCUCAACUCCCUUUUCUUUUUUGAAAUUGGAGCUGGACUUGAGUGAUCCCAACGCUUUCUUCCAAGAAAGUGGCGGGUUGCUUGAAAUGCAGGUGCAGCUGAACUUUUCUCUGAGCUAUAAGCAUAUCUAUUUAGUCUGCCUAAAAAACAGAUUAUUACCUUUGCUGCAGCUAACAUAAAGGAGACUAGUUCUUGUGCUGACUGAUGCAGGAUUCACAGAGACAGCUUCGGCUGACUUUGUAAACUCGAUCUCAAAUCAAGUAAGACUACCCGCUGAACUUAAGCAUAUCAAUAAGCGGAGGA
rnacentral:misc_RNA from 1 species